UACGUAGGGUGCAAGCGUGUCCGGAAUUAUUGGGCGUAAAGAGCUCGUAGGCGGUCUGUUACGUCGGCUGUGAAAACCUGGGGCUCAACCCCGGGCCUGCAACCGAUACGGGCAGACUAGAGUUCGGCAGGGGAGACUGGAAUUCCUGGUGUAGCGGUGAAAUGCGCAGAUAUCAGGAGGAACACCGGUGGCGAAGGCGGCCAGCUG
rnacentral:rRNA from 1 species